AGAGUUUGAUCAUGGCUCAGGACGAACGCUGGCGGCGUGCCUAACACAUGCAAGUCGAACGGGACUGGGGGCAACUCCAGUUCAGUGGCAGAUGGGUGCGUAACACGUGAGGAACUUGUCCGACGGCGGGGGAUAGCCGGCCCAACGGCCGGGUAAUACCGCGUACGCUCAUUUGGGGACAUCCCUGGGUGAGGAAAGCAGCCGCAAGGUUGCGCCGAUGGAGAGCCUCGCGGCGUAUCAGCUAGUUGGCGGGGUAAUGGCCCACCAAGGCUACGACGCGUAGCUGGUCUGAGAGGAUGGCCAGCCACAUUGGGACUGAGGCACGGCCCAGACUCCUACGGGAGGCAGCAGUGGGGAAUAUUGCGCAAUGGCCGAAAGGCUGACGCAGCGACGCCGCGUGUGGGAUGACGGCCCUCGGGUUGUAAACCACUGUCGGGGGGGGACGAAUACAGGGCCUCGAAUAGGGGGACCCUGGGUGACGGUACCUCCAAAGGAAGCACCGGCUAACUCCCGUGCCAGCAGCCGCGGUAAUACGGAGGGUGCGAGCGUUGUCCGGAAUCACUGGGCGUAAAGGGCGCGUAGGCGGUUCGUUAAGUUGCUGGUGAAAUCCCGGGGCUCAACUCCGGGGCUGCCGGCAAGACUGGCGGGCUAGAGCACGGUAGAGGCGGAUGGAAUUCCCGGUGUAGCGGUGGAAUGCGUAGAUAUCGGGAAGAAUACCGGUGGCGAAGGCGUCGCUGGGCCGUNNCUGAGCUGAGGCGCGACAGCGUGGGGAGCAAACAGGAUUAGAUACCCNNGUAGUCC
rnacentral:rRNA from 1 species